UGGGGAUUAUUGGACAAUGGGCGAAAGCCUGAUCCAGCCAUGCCGCGUGUGUGAAGAAGGUCUUCGGAUUGUAAAGCACCUUAAGUUGGGAGGAAGGGCAGUAAGCGAAUACCUUGCUGUUUUGACGUUACCGACAGAAUAAGCACCGGCUAACUCUGUGCCAGCAGCCGCGGUAAUACAGAGGGUGCAAGCGUUAAUCGGAAUUACUGGGCGUAAAGCGCGCGUAGGUGGUUCGUUAAGUUGAAUGUGAAAGCCCCGGGCUCAACCUGUGAACUGCUUCCAAAACUGGCGGGCUAGAGUAGGGCAGAGGGUGGUGGAAUUACCUGUGUAGCGGUGAAAUGCGUGGAUAUAGGAAGGAACACCAGUGGCGAAGGCGACCACCUGGGCUCAUACUGACACUGAGGUGCGAAAGCGUGGGGAGCAAACAGG
rnacentral:rRNA from 1 species